GGGUGGUCUUGGAACAAUCAUGAACCCAUCCCAGAUGUCUGGAGGAUGUCAAGUUCAUAACCCCCAAUUUAGUCCAGCCUCCCAUUUCACAGAUGGUUUCAGUUCGGAUCUCCCUCUUGGCCUUCUUGCUACCCAGUCAGCUCUUGGAGGUCAAGAAGAGUCUUUCCCAGGUUUUCUUGUGAAUCCAUGAGGGUCACCCUGCUUGGGACCCGGAAGCACCCUUGCACCUCUGGACCUUCCAGUUCUGAAGGGAAAUGGAGGCACAGAGCAGUGAAGACACGACUGGAAUGUGGAUGUGCGACACAUCUUUGCCUCCUGGGUUCUCAGCUACCCCUGCCCAGCGGACUCUGCCUCAGUUGCUGCUGUGACUGAUACACUCUGUGGGGUCCACAUGGUUCUGCCAUUGCAGCUGACCAGCAGCUUUCCCAGAGCAUUUGGCUCCUCCCAGGUCCGGACAAGACACCACAUCCCAGGGUGGGGGACACUGUUGAGGCCGCCUGUCCAGCAUAACCGCUCCAGUGGCAGCCCUGCACUCCUUGGGGAACCACCAGCUCCUCCACAUUCAGUCACAGUCUCUACUUGCUCUUUGCCGGGAUCGUUGGCCUGGAGCUUCUGGAGAUCACUUUUACCAUUUGGCUGUUGGGAAUGGAGUCAGUACAGAAGAAAGCAGAGCUGAAAGCUGGAGUAGGACCAGGAGUCCUGGUGGUGUCUUUGGAGAUCCUGGAUCCAGCCAUGCCAGAAGCCGGUUAAGUACUCAUGAUUUUUAGGAAUUAAUACAGGAGCCAAAUUUUUUCCUAAAUAUUUGUUUAAGCUAGUUUGAGUUGAGUUUCUCUUAUUAAGACUGAAAUGCUCCUAGGUUCUCUAUCAAUAGUCACGGCUGCGAUUGCAGUUAUAAACACCUUACCCGGAAGAGGCAGCCAUGGAGAUGGGGGCAGGUUUCACCAGGGGCCACUGCCACCCUUCAUCACAGCCCGUUAGCAGCUCCCCAGGGAUGGGGGGAUUCAUCUGUUUGUGCUGAUAGGUGCCUGGUAUCGGGCACAUACUAGGUGAUUGA